GCACCUGUGGCGGAAUUGGCAGACGCGCCAGAUUUAGGAUCUGGUAUCUUUGAUGUGCAGGUUCGACCCCUGUCAGGUGCACCA
rnacentral:tRNA from 1 species